AUUGAACGCUGGCGGCAGGCCUAACACAUGCAAGUCGAACGGUAACAGGAAGAAGCUUGCUUCUUUGCUGACGAGUGGCGGACGGGUGAGUAAUGUCUGGGAAACUGCCUGAUGGAGGGGGAUAACUACUGGAAACGGUAGCUAAUACCGCAUAACGUCGCAAGACCAAAAAGGGGGACCUUCGGGCCUCUUGCCAUCGGAUGUGCCCAGAUGGGAUUAGCUAGUAGGUGGGGUAACGGCUCACCUAGGCGACGAUCCCUAGCUGGUCUGAGAGGAUGACCGGCCACACUGGAACUGAGACACGGUCCAGACUCCUACGGGAGGCAGCAGUGGGGAAUAUUGCGCAAUGGGCGGAAGCCUGAUGCAGCCAUGCCGCGUGUAUGACGAAGGCCUUCGGGUUGUAAAGUACUUUCAGCGGGGAGGAAGGGAGUAAAGUUAAUACCUUUGCUCAUUGACGUUACCCGCAGAAGAAGCACCGGCUAACUCCGUG
rnacentral:rRNA from 1 species